UACGGGGGAUGCAAGCGUUAUCCGGAUUUAUUGGAUUUAAAGGGUGCGUAGGCUGUGAGGUAAGUCAGCGGUGAAAUGCCCCCGCUCAACGGGGUGAAGUGCCAUUGAUACUGCCUUGCUGGAAUGCGGAUGCCGUGGGAGGAAUGUGUGGUGUAGCGGUGAAAUGCAUAGAUAUCACACAGAACACCGAUUGCGAAGGCAUCUCACGAAUCCGCGAUUGACGCUGAUGCACGAAAGCGUGGGUAUCAAACAGG
rnacentral:rRNA from 1 species